rnacentral:rRNA from 1 species
UACGUAGGGUGCGAGCGUUGCCCGGAUUUAUUGGGCGUAAAGGGCGCGUAGGCGGCCACGCACGUCCGUUGUGAAAUCGCCCGGCUCAACUGGGCGGGGUCAGCGGAUACGGUGUGGCUCGAGCAAGCUAGGGGGCAAUGGAAUUCCCGGUGUAGUGGUGGAAUGCGCAGAUAUCGGGAGGAACACCGGUGGCGAAGGCGGUUCUCUGGGCCUUACCUGACGCUGAGGAGCGAAAGCGUGGGGAGCGAACAGG